rnacentral:rRNA from 1 species
AGUGAACGCUGGCGGUAGGCCUAACACAUGCCAGUCGAACGGCAGCACAGUAAGAGCUUGCUCUUACGGGUGGCGAGUGGCGGACGGGUGAGGAAUACAUCGGAAUCUACUUUUUCGUGGGGGAUAACGUAGGGAAACUUACGCUAAUACAGCAUACGACCUACGGGUGAAAGCAGGGGAUCUUCGGGCCUUGCGCGAUUGAAUGAGCCGAUGUCGGGUUAGCUAGUUGGCGGGGUAAAGGCCCACCAAGGCGACGAUCCGUAGCUGGUCUGAGAGGAUGAUCAGCCACACUGGAACUGAGACACGGUCCAGACUCCGACGGGAGGCAGCAGUGGGGAAUAUUGGACAAAGGGCGCAAGCCUGAACCAGCCAUACAGCGUGGGUGAAGAAGGCCUGCGGGUGGUAAAGCCCUUUUGUUGGGAAAGAAAAGCAGCAGGUUAAUACCCCGCUGUUCGGACGGUACCCAUAGAAUAAGCACCGGCUAACUUCGG